GAUGAACGCUAGCGGCAGGCUUAAUACAUGCAAGUCGAGGGGCAGCAUGAUUGUAGCGAUACAAUUGAUGGCGACCGGCAAACGGGUGCGGAACACGUACACAACCUUCCAACAAGUGGGGGAUAGCCCAGAGAAAUUUGGAUUAAUACCCCGUAACAUAGCGAUGUGGCAUCACAUUGCUAUUAUAGAUUUUUCGCUUGUUGAUGGGUGUGCGGCUGAUUAGAUAGUUGGCGGGGUAACGGCCCACCAAGUCUACGAUCAGUAGCUGAUGUGAGAGCAUGUUCAGCCAAACGGGCACUGAGACACGGGCCCGACUCCUACGGGAGGCAGCAGUAAGGAAUAUUGGACAAUGGACGCAAGUCUGAUCCAGCCAUGCCGCGUGAAGGAUUAAGGUCCUCUGGAUUGUAAACUUCUUUUAUAAGGGACGAAAAAAGGCUUUUCUAAGUCGUCUGACGGUACCUUAUGAAUAAGCACCGGCUAACUCCGUGCCAGCCGCCGCAGUAAGAC
rnacentral:rRNA from 1 species